rnacentral:misc_RNA from 1 species
GAUUGGAUAGUUGCUUAGGGAAACGUGGAGGUACUAUUACGUGAGUAAUACGACCCGACACUUAGUACGGCCUGCCCUAUCCGGGUGCGGUCUGCUAGUUCUGAAAAGGACGACACAGCCCUCUGAGAUAGGAGGCUAAUGGCGAACAAGUAUCUACUACCCCGUAAGGGACGAUUAGAAGCUUGGAAGCCUCUGCACAUCCUCCGGGAUAAUAACUUGCUGCAUUAGUGGAAAACUUCCUCGAAACAAGCAGGCAGAAGGUUAAUAAACCUUACUACCUACGGGUAGAAAAGGAAUCCUGUUCGGAACUCCAGUUCAGGACCCGUCACUAUGAUUAAUACCAUAGUGUUACUGUUUGCGUAAAGAAAGUUUUCUCCUGAUGUAACCGUCAGCCGGCAUAAUACUUAACAUGAACAAACUAAAUUUAAACCAAAAAGGAAUAAAUCUUUUGUCUCUAUUAAGUACUAAGUACGUGGAGGUUUCUAAGAUGAUACCGCUUUCCGAUAAACUCGGAACUACUUUAUUCAAACCAUUGGGAUACAAUAACAUGCUAUCUCAUGGUAGAAUAGGUAGAUUGGCAAGUGGGAUAAGAAGAACGAAUCUCUUUAUAAGCUUUACACUGAACAUGUGGAGAACACACGGAACGGCCUUUACCAUAAAAUGGUUGAAAGGAUGCUCUGUGGCUAUCCAAAAAUGUCUAGGUAAAGAUAUAUUGAGUACUCUAAGAGUCUUGACACCAGACUUACCUUUGAAUGGGUUGUCACGUGGACUUCCUAGAAUUAUACCUGUCGAAGACAGAGUACGAAUUCGAAGAGGUCACGUACCAACAAUCCGGUUUUGGCUCGGUUUAUUUAACCUUUACCGUGUGCUNAAAGCACCCGGUGAGCUUAAACUCGGGACCAUUACCGAUAAAUUCUCAGGGGAUAAAGAGGGUCUUCGAACUUUAUUGCGAUUUGCAUUAAAAUUCAACCCUUUUGCUCGAUUUAAUAAAUUAAGCAAAGAAUCUUUAGCUCCAAAAGAGUUUAUCAUGUCUCGAUCGGCUUCGCCGUCGAACAAAGUGUCGUGGUUUGGGAUCCUAACGGAUACCAGACUUCUUAGAGAGGAUUCUCCCAGAUUAUGGGAAAACAUCCAAGCUUACCUAACCANNNNNNNNNNNNNNNNNNNNNNNNNNNNNNNNNNNNNNNNNNNNNNNNNNNNNNNNNNNNNNNNNNNNNNNNNNNNNNNNNNNNNNNNNNNNNNNNNNNNNNNNNNNNNGUCUCGAAAUCGGGACGAGUCCUUACUCAAUUUUACUCUAUGAUGUCGAAAGACUCUGUCAGGGCUCACGGUAUCGGCCCUGGUCUCGGGGUCUCGCAAUUUGCACUUAAGGAAGAAGCUGCUGGAAAAAUCCGGCUCUUCGCCUUAAUGGAUUCCAUAACACAAAGUGUUAUGAGUCCUCUCCACGAUUAUAUGUUUGCCAUCUUACGGAAANUUCCGAACGAUGGGACAUUUGAUCAGGAGGCGUCAAUUGCUAGAUCUCAAGAUAAGGCCGUUGCCGCGGGAAAAGCAUUCAGUUUUGAUCUGACUGCAGCUACGGAUCGACUACCUGUAAUCCUUACCGCAUUCAUACUCUCCACUGUUGUGGGGAUUAGAAUGUUUGGGGGUCUUUGGAGGUCGAUUUUGGUCAAAAGACCUUUUGGUUUUAAUCAGCAGGUUGCUGAAAAACUAAAAGUCUCUGACGGUCCGUACUUCUACGAGGUAGGGCAACCUAUGGGUGCUCUAUCUUCUUGGCCCGGUCUUGCUCUAACGCAUCACUGGAUUGUCCAAGUUGCCGCUUUUAGAGUUACAAAUUCUAAGAGUUGGAACACCGAGUAUGAAAUACUUGGUGAUGAUAUUGUAAUAUUCAAUGAGGAAAUCUCAAAAGAAUAUUUACGUAUCAUGGCUGUCCUUGGGUGUGAAAUUAAUUUGAAUAAAUCAAUUUCUUCCCACUGCCGUCCCGUUUUCGAAUUCGCAAAACGAACCUGUUGGGGCUUUGCAAUAGUAAGUGGAAUCUCCCUAGCUCAAAUUCGAGCUGGAUGGAGAAUCGGAGGUCGUGUAGCUAAUGCUCUGCAAUUUGCAAGAGCAGGACUACUGUGCCCCGGUGAAUCCCUGUUGCAAGCUAUCCUUUCAAGAAAUACCUUUUCAAAAGGUAGAGUAUUGCCAGGUUAUAGAACGGAUUCCAUAACCUCACAAAAGGCUCUAGCCUUAGGGGUUCUGGCGUUGUUAGGGGAAAGAUUCCAAUCCGGAAUCAUCCCGCUAAGAACGGUAAUGCACGCGAUCAUAGAUCCUAUU